UGUUAAAAAAUUUAUCUAUUUAUAUUAUUAAAAAUUAGUGUGGCUGAUAGAAUAACCAAAAAAUAAUGUGCCGCAUGCUAACAUACAUAGACCAAAUUUUAACCGUAAAAAAGGAUAGUGUUUUUAACA
rfam:Gossypium raimondii Chr07_contig_1441, whole genome shotgun sequence.